UGCAAGUAUUAUUUUUUAUUUAUGUUGGAUUCAUUCGUGAUACAGAGUGGGCAUUACGUGUAUGCUCUUACUUUCUCUAUAUCUUUUUUAAAUUUAUUUAUUAAUUAAUUUAUUUAUUUAUCUCAGACGCAGCCUUACGUAAUACGUCUGUGGCGGUUGUAGCCGCCUGGCUCCACCCCCAGAAGUGCGUCCGACCGUUAGCGAAAAAAAACAUUUAGCAAACUGAAAGAUAAAAAGAGCGAGAGCGGCGCCGAAAAGGAGAAAAGAAGAAAAAAAAGCGUUAAAACGACCACAAGCAGAAAUUAUGUUGAUGAAAGCUCCUCAGAACCAAGAUGCAGCUGCACCAAACACCAGCCGUGAACCCGGCCGCCACAGGUCUAGUGGGCAGCUCUUGGAGUGAACUACGCCAACUAUUUGAUGUGACUGAACCCAGAACUAAAGAAUCCUGUAAACCAAGAUGUAACAAAG